rnacentral:rRNA from 1 species
AUUGAACGCUGGCGGCAGGCCUAACACAUGCAAGUCGAACGAGUGGCGGACGGGUGAGUAAUGUCUGGGAAACUGCCCGAUGGAGGGGGAUAACUACUGGAAACGGUAGCUAAUACCGCAUACCAUCGGAUGUGCCCAGAUGGGAUUAGCUAUUGGGUGGGGUAAAGGCUCACCUAGGCGACGAUCCCUAGCUGGGCUGAGAGGAUGACGAGCAACACUGGAACUUGGAAACGGUCCGGACUCCUACGGGAGGAAGCAGUGGGGAAUAUUGGACAAUGGGCGCAGGCCUGAUGCAGCCAUGCCGCGUGUGGGAAGAAGGCCUUCGGGUUGUAAAGCACUUUCAGCGGGGAGGCGUUACCCGCAGAAGAAGCACCGGCUAACGCCGUGCCAGCAGCCGCGGUAAUUC